CUUCUCGAGCUUCUUCUGGCAAGUCUUUUGCUAGUUCAGCUCCUAUAUCAUUAUUAACCAUCAAUAAACUUGAGUGCUGCCAUAUAAGCCAUGAAACCAACUCGAAUUUUUUCUCUAGUUUUUUCCAUGAGCUCUUUUGCCUCUUUCCGUUUCUCCAGAUUCGAACCAUACCGGAACCGUCGCCGUCGAUUCCUAACGAACGAAACCGCAUCUCUCCACCUUCUCUGAGCUUCUACAGAUGG
rnacentral:misc_RNA from 1 species